rnacentral:lncRNA from 1 species
CAUUUUAUUUUUCAAACAGCACCAAUGUAUUAUAAUGGAGUGUAUCAUUUAUUCUAUCAAUACAAUCCAAAAGGAUCAGUAUGGGGCAAUAUUAUUUGGGCUCAUUCAGUCUCAAAAGACUUGAUAAAUUGGAUCCAUUUAGAACCUGCAAUUUAUCCAUCCAAAAAAUUUGACAAGUAUGGUACUUGGUCUGGAUCAUCAACUAUUUUACCUAAUAACAAACCUGUUAUCAUAUACACCGGAGUAGUAGAUUCGUAUAAUAAUCAAGUCCAGAACUACGCCAUCCCGGCUAACCUAUCUGAUCCAUUUCUUCGUAAAUGGAUCAAACCUAACAACAACCCGUUGAUCGUCCCUGAUAACAGUAUCAAUAGAACUGAGUUUCGCGAUCCAACUACAGCUUGGAUGGGCCAAGAUGGGCUUUGGAGGAUUUUAAUAGCAAGUAUGAGAAAACAUAGAGGGAUGGCAUUGUUGUAUAGAAGUAGAGAUUUUAUGAAAUGGAUCAAAGCCCAACAUCCACUUCAUUCAUCUACUAAUACUGGAAAUUGGGAGUGUCCUGAUUUUUUCCCUGUAUUAUUUAAUAGUACCAAUGGUUUAGAUGUAUCGUAUCGCGGAAAAAAUGUUAAAUAUGUCCUCAAGAAUAGUCUUGAUGUUGCUAGGUUUGAUUAUUACACUAUUGGCAUGUAUCACACCAAAAUAGAUAGGUAUAUUCCGAAUAACAAUUCAAUUGAUGGUUGGAAGGGAUUGAGAAUCGACUAUGGUAAUUUCUAUGCAUCGAAGACAUUCUAUGAUCCUAGCAGAAAUCGAAGGGUUAUUUGGGGUUGGUCAAAUGAAUCCGAUGUAUUACCUGACGAUGAAAUUAAGAAAGGAUGGGCUGGAAUUCAAGGUAUUCCGCGACAAGUAUGGCUAAACCUUAGUGGUAAACAAUUACUUCAAUGGCCUAUUGAAGAAUUAGAAACCCUAAGGAAGCAAAAGGUCCAAUUGAACAACAAGAAGUUGAGCAAGGGAGAAAUGUUUGAAGUUAAAGGGAUCUCAGCAUCACAGGUUUCAACUUUUCCUUAUUAAACUAUAGUCUUUUAAAUAUCAUUAAUCUACUUCUUAUAUGUAUAAUCAAUGUAUAACUAUUAUAUCAAAUGCACAUGAUCGAUUGAUUAUACAUUUGCUAUAUAUAUAUCUCUAUUAUAUCAAUUGCACUGUCUCAUCUUGCAUUUCUUUGAUCGUAGGCUGAUGUUGAAGUGCUGUUCUCAUUUUCAAGUUUGAACGAGGCCGAACAAUUUGAUCCUAGAUGGGCUGACCUAUAUGCCCAAGACGUUUGUGCCAUUAAGGGUUCGACUAUCCAAGGUGGGCUUGGACCAUUUGGGCUUGUGACAUUAGCUUCUAAAAACUUAGAAGAAUACACACCUGUUUUCUUCCGAGUGUUCAAGGCUCAAAAAAGUUAUAAGAUUCUCAUGUGCUCAGAUGCUAGAAGGUUUGUUUCUUCAAUCCAAUUAAUUGUAAUGAUCGAAGUUCACAUCUUCUCCAAAUUGAGUAAAUCGAGAAUUAUAAUGACCCGACUUUGAUAUCAUGAUAAGAAAUGCAUUUACUUAUAGAUCGCCCGUUAGUGUCAUUAAAAAACUCUAACCUUGUUUAGGUUUUUUUUUUUUUUAAUUAAUGAGCAGAUCUUCCAUGAGACAAAAUGAAGCAAUGUACAAGCCCUCAUUUGCUGGAUAUGUAGAUGUAGAUUUAGAAGACAUGAAGAAGUUAUCUCUUAGGAGUUUGGUAAGUUUUGCUUUCACAAUUUUUAUUUAUUUAUAAUUUAUUUGAUCAAAACUUUCAAGAUUCGAUUAAUUUGAAGAGUAACGAUUUGUGUUUGACUAAUCAAUUUGUAUCAUAUGCAUAUUUUUUUUUAGAUUGAUAACUCAGUAGUGGAAAGUUUCGGUGCUGGUGGCAAAACAUGCAUAACAUCAAGGGUGUAUCCAACUUUAGCGAUUUAUGAUAAUGCACAUUUAUUUGUUUUUAACAAUGGCUCUGAGACAAUCACAAUUGAGACUCUGAAUGCUUGGAGCAUGGAUGCAUGUAAGAUGAACUAAAUAUUUUCAAAAAAAUUGGAAUUAUGUCUACAAUUAUAUAUGUCUAAAGAGACAAAAAUUGUGUUAAAUUUAACAGUAGAUGAUGUUCACAAAAAUCCUCUAUAAUUGUCUCUAAUUUAUUUUGGUGAAUUUAGAAGGCAAAGUGUGUGUAUGGAUUUUUCUAGUACCAUAUAUAUAUAUAUUAAGUAAGAAAUUUGUUAGCUUUCCUUUUUGUUUUGUAACAUAAUCAAAUGUGUGGUCUUAUGUAGAACUAAUAUUUGGUAAUAUUAGGCAAGUUGUUAUGUGACUUAUUUUAUUCAAAAAUAUAAUAAGAAGUUCAAAGAGAAGAGUACAAGUAAGUAAGUAAGCAGAGACGAAUCCUGGAUUUAAAGGGUCUGGCUAUAUUAAUGUUUUUUUAAUUUAAGCAUUAGCGAUUCGCCUUGCAAGUAAUCGAUAGGACAAAAGUUUUACCUUACUAAUUCUAUUGAGGCACCAAAUCCCUAUGAAAAAGCAUGUAAAAUAUGAGAAGACGAAAGAAUUAAAUAGGUUAUAAUUAUUGUAUAAUUUAUAACACACUUUAUGAUAAUAUUACAAAUAAGAAUAUCGAAUAUUUAAUUAAUGACGAACUAUAAAAGCAAAGAAGGAAGGAUGAGCUUCCAAAAACAAUCGCAAAUGAAUAAAGAUGCCCAAAAUAGAGUAACCUAACGAAGUCGAUACUUCCAUUCAUAAUCAAAUCUGUUCAAAAACACUUGAUGGUUUAUUUUUAACUUUAAGAGAUGUAUCAUAUCGUCUCUUAUUAUUCUUUUAGGGCUAUUCGCCGUAGGAAUAAAAUUUAUAUGAUCAAAUUUCACGUUAUAUAAAUAAUGUGAAGAAAAAACUUAUACUUUUCAAGGUAACAAGAAAUCAUGUUUUUUUUACGCCUUCGUGGAGACUACUUCCUCGUAACAAAAAAUUAACAUUUUAAGUGGCGACUCUAAAAACUCGUGGCCAGUAUAUUAGUCGCCAUUAAACAUUAUUUUUAAUCAUGAGUUCUUUUCUUUUUUAAUCUUUUUUUAAGGUCAAAUUUACCACUUUAUCUUAUUUAUUUAAAUUGAAAAAUCCCAAAUUUUGCAUUAUUUUUUUGAAUUCCUUUUUUUUUUACACACUCAAAAAGUCAAAACAUUAAAAAAACGAAAUAGCAAAUUAAAUGGCAAAAGACUUGUUCUAACAAAAAAAAAAUAGUAAAACAGACUCAUAAAAGGUAACAAUAACCAACAAAUCACACAAAAUUGUAGAUAAAUAUUAUGCAAACAAAUAAAAAUUAAUAAUCCAAUCCAUUUAUUUAUUUUUUUAAAAAAAACCUAAAUUAACUCUCCAUCUUUCAAUCAAAAACAAACUCUACCCAUUUUUUUCACUAUAAAUACUCUUCAUAAUUUUCAUUUGUUCUUCAUUCCCAUGUUUCUUUUCUCCUUAUCCAAAAAAAAAAAAAUUAAAAAAAAUUAUUUAGAUUAAAUAUCACUAUCUGUCAAAGCCCAAUCAUUAAAAUAAAAUAAAAAUUAUGGAUUAUUCAUCUAAUAAAAGUUCUCGUUGGGCUUUGCCAGUUAUCUUAGUUUGCUUUUUUGUAAUUUUAUUAUCCAAUAAUGUUGUUUUUGCUUCUCAUAAAGUUUUUAUUCACUUGCAAUCUCAAAAUGCUGUAAAUGUUCAUACUGUUCAUCGAACUGGUUAUCAUUUUCAGCCCGAAAAACAUUGGAUCAAUGGUAUGUUUAUUCCUUUUUUUCGUCUUUUUUUAUAUAUAUAUAUAAUAAAACGAACAUGUUGUGUUUAGUCUAGAUUUAAUACUAGUGAUUUUUUUGACGCUAACAAAUAAUCGAGUACUCACCAUUUGUCAAUAGAUACAUUGACAUGUAUUAGUAUGAUUUUCGUCUUUUUUCGUUGUUUCUAAUAUUAUUUAAUCUUCACUAAUUUUUUUUAUUUUUCUUUGAAUGAUGUCUCUUGGUCAAAACAUACAAUAGAUCCCAAUGGUAAGUUAACUAUAUUUUUGUAUAUUUUUUAAAUUUAUUUUAUUCUUAUUAUAUAAUAUAGGGAAAAAAGGAUAAAUAUAUCCCCGAACUAUUAUAAAUAGUAUGCACCAGUAUCCUCUGUUAUACUUUAGAGACAUUUUUGCCGUCAAAAAACUAGAACACAUAUAUCCUUUAUUUAUCCCGAUAUCGAAUCGAUUGUACCACGAGUGAAGGGUAUAGCUCUAGUUUUUGGACGGUAGGGCACCUAAAGUAUGACGAAGAAUAUCUGCAAACCAUUUACAAUAGUUUUGGAUAUAUUUGUGAACUAAUGAUGUUUGAAUUCUUUUUUCAUAGCACCAAUGUAUUUCAAUGGAGUGUAUCAUCUAUUCUACCAGUACAACCCAAAUGGUUCAGUAUGGGGUAACAUUGUUUGGGCUCAUUCCGUUUCAAAAGACUUGAUCAAUUGGAUCAAUUUAGAACCUGCAAUUUACCCAUCAAAGCCAUUUGAUCAAUUCGGUACCUGGUCUGGAUCAGCAACCAUCCUACCUGGUAACAAGCCAGUCAUCUUGUACACCGGAAUCAUAGAUGCCAACCAAACCCAAGUCCAAAACUACGCAAUCCCAGCUAACUUAUCCGAUCCAUAUCUCCGCGAAUGGAUCAAGCCAGACAACAACCCAUUAAUUAUAGCCGAUGAAAGUAUCAACAAGACCAAGUUUCGUGACCCAACAACAGCAUGGAUGGGUAAAGACGGGCAUUGGAGAAUCGUCAUGGGAAGUUUGAGGAAACACAGCAGGGGCUUAGCUAUAAUGUAUAGGAGCAAAGACUUUAUGAAAUGGGUCAAGGCUAAACACCCACUUCACUCAACUAACGGCACUGGAAACUGGGAAUGCCCUGAUUUUUACCCAGUUUCAUCGAAAGGUACUGAUGGGUUGGAUCAAUACGGUGAGGAACACAAGUACGUGCUGAAGAACAGUAUGGAUCUUACUCGAUUUGAGUAUUAUACACUUGGAAAAUACGAUACGAAAAAAGAUAGGUACGUUCCAGAUCCAGAUUCUGUCGAUAGUUUGAAGGGAUUGAGACUCGAUUACGGUAACUUCUACGCAUCGAAGUCAUUCUACGAUCCAAGCAAAAAUCGAAGGGUUAUCUGGGGUUGGUCUAAUGAAUCAGAUAUAUUCCCAGAGGAUGAUAAUGCGAAGGGAUGGGCUGGGAUUCAAUUGAUUCCUCGUAAAGUAUGGCUUGAUCCAAGUGGUAAGCAGUUGGUUCAAUGGCCUGUGGAGGAACUAGAAACCCUAAGAACUCAAAAGGUUCAAUUGAGCAACAAGAAGAUGAACAAUGGGGAGAAGAUUGAAGUUACAGGAAUCACACCAGCACAGGUAUAUAUAUAGACUUUUUUAUUUUUAAUUUAUUAUUAUUAUUAUUAUUACUCUCUCCGUUUUCAAAAAAAAAAUAUCCCUAUUUUCUUUUAUAGUCUCUUUAAUUUAAAAAGAAUGAUCUAUUUUCUUUUUGGAUAACCUUUUAACUUUGAUUUUUCACGUGAAAUGUUUAAAAUCACGAGAUUAAAGAGCAUUUUGGUUACAUUUGACAUAACUGAAAUUUAGAAACACAAGAUUAAAGGACAUUUUGGUACAUUUGACAUAACUUGAAUUUAAAACCACAUAAUUAAAGGGCAUUUUGGUACAUUUGAAUUAGAACAUUUUGAUACAUUUGACAUAACAUGAAUUUAGAACCACAAGAUUAAAAAAUCUUCUUUCUUUUUUCUUAAAUUUCGUUCCAAGUCAAAUUAGGUCAUUCUUUUUUAAUUACUCCCUCCGUCUAAUUUUAUGUAACAACAUUUGACCGGACGGAGAGUUUUAAGAAAUAAAUAAAACACUUUGAGAUGUGUACCAAAUUGCUCUCCAAAAAUACUCACUUUUCUCUCUCCUCAUAAAUGUAUUUGAGUACUAUUUUUAAAAUUAAGCGAGUCCAACAAGAAUAAAAUAGAAACUGUACUUUUAAAUAUUUACCAUAUAAAAAAAUGUGAUUUUUUUUUUUUGAAAACUGAUCAAAAAGAAAAUGAUAUCACUCGACGAUGAAAGUGUUUAAUAAUGAAAAAACAUGACAGGCUGAUGUUGAAGUGACAUUCUCAUUUGCAAGUUUGGAUAAGGCAGAGUCAUUUGAUCCUAAAUGGAAUGAUAUGUAUGCACAAGAUGUUUGUGGACUCAAGGGUGCAGAUGUUCAAGGUGGGCUUGGGCCAUUUGGUCUUGCUACAUUAGCUACUGAAAACUUGGAAGAAAACACACCGGUUUUCUUCCGAGUUUUCAAAGCACAGCAAAACUACAAGGUUCUCUUGUGUUCUGACGCUAAAAGGUACUACUUAUUGAAUUUUUAACUUGUUGGUAACGUUUUCGACGGUAUAAUAUCGAGAAGUUGAGAAAUUGACAAAUCUUUUGUUUUAUGUCUGAUAGGUCAACUCUUAAGUUCAAUGAAACAAUGUACAAAGCUUCAUUUGCUGGAUUUGUUGAUGUUGAUUUGGCUGACAAGAAAUUGUCACUCAGAAGCUUGGUAACUUCUCUUUCUAUCGUUAAUCAAAAAUCUAAACGAACAUUUGAAUCUAAACUAUUGAAAUUCUUUUUGUAGAUUGAUAAUUCAGUUAUAGAAACUUUUGGUGCUGGUGGAAAGACAUGUAUAACAUCGAGGGUUUAUCCAACAUUGGCAAUUAACGACGAGGCACAUUUAUUCGCGUUUAACAACGGAACGGAGCCAAUCACAAUUGAGAGUUUGGAUGCAUGGAGUAUGGGCAAAGCUAAGAUACAAUAUUGAAGAAAAAAAAAAGAAUAAGGAGAAAGGAACUAUGGUAAAAGGGGGAAAUAUGAGAUUUUGAUGGACAUAUAAGAGUUUGUUAUUUUGAUAUUUCAACUCUAUUUUUUUUGUUUAUCAAAUUAGAUAUCCCUCGAGUCAAAAAAAAUGUAUAUAGAUUUAUCCUCUAUUUUCAAUUUAUGACAAUAAUGCUAUGUUUUUGCUUUCAAAAUUGUUGUUUUCGUUAUAUUAUUUGUUCAAUCGUGUAUUUAUUUUAUUGAUAUAUCUUUUAAAUUUUAAAUUUUAAUAUUUUAUUUUAUUAUUAUAUUUACAUAGCUACAGAAUGGUCUAACAAAUAAAAGAAGUUUGUCAUUGAAAGGAAAUAAUUGGUUAAAUCUUAUCUGAAAAAUAGUUUCAGAUUAUUUUUUAACAUAGUUUUAUUUUUCAGAUAACAUAGUUUGAGAUAAUGUUAAAUAAUAUGAUGUUGCAUUGGGUAUUUCCUGGAUAAAUAAUUCAUCUUUUGUUUCUACAGAGUUAAAUAAAAAUAGCAACCAUCUUAUUUUGAAGAAAGUGUUUUAAUAUUUUUUCGUUCAAUUGUUUUUUCCAACUAAAUAAAUUGUAUAACAAGAAGAAGCUCAAAUGGACAAAAUUUGUUUCUGAUAAAUUGUAUUCAAACAAAAGUACAAUUAGUGCUUUUUAGAGAAUCCAGUUCCGGCGGAAGAUUAAGUAAGGUGCGGUAUAAAGACCAAUCAAUUUCCUACAACAGACAAUAGAGGGCUCUGACGUGACCACGGUCAAUGAGACUAUUGUUCUGAUUCUAUAGAGUCUAACCUUGAAAAGAAAAGACUCGUUGUUUUUAAGCCUGGUCCAGGUGUGGGAGCUAUACUUGAUAUACAAGUCGACUCGUGAACUACGGAGUACUCCAAAUGUUUUACCAAACAGAAGAACAAUGGGCAAACACCAAUCCUGAGAAGUGGUAAAAUCUACAAAACAUUGAAAGGUAUAAAAUGUUUGGUAAGUCAGAAUACAUUAGCAUAAAUAUUGGAGCUCACAGAGUCAUUUGCUGACUCUUGCAUAUACAUAAUUCCUCCUUAUCAUUAACAAAGUAGAAAUAAAUAUGAUAUAUACUAUGAAAACACAAAUAAGUCAAACAAAAAAAAAGAGAUGAACUUUGUAAUGAAUGGACACAGAAAACUGAUCUGUUGCUGUUGCUCAGACAGACGAAACAUGUUGCCUCAGCUGUGUCGAAAAAAAAGAAACAAGAUGAUGUGGGAACAAAGGUUCUUGAAUUAUGUUGGCAAGUCAGAAUAUCAAUAAGCCUCAGAAGUUUUAGCUCAUUGGGGAAAAAACCCUGGCACAUCUAAUAGACUCAUCAUUCUUGCCAUAAAUUGAAUUACCAAAGUGUAUUAGCAGAUCACCUACACACAAAAAAUACACCAGGAAGAAAGAAAGAGUGGAAACAAAUACAUUAUGGAUGCACAAUAUCAAAAGAGAAAGCUCAGAAUAUCAAUAAGCAGUUAGUGUAAACAUUCAACAGGGAGUUCUCCCUUCACACAACAGAUAUUCAUCAUUCCCAUACCUACCUAAAAUUAACUAUAAAUGCCAAAAGAAGCCAAAUUAUAUAUUUAAUAAUAAUUUACAUCAAAAUCUUCUGUUAGUAAUGUUAAUAAUGAACUUUUAUAGUCAUAGUUAGGUCCAACAAAAAUUAAGGGAUCAAUGAACACCAUGUAAAUCAAAAAAUAAAAGAGUGAAUCACAAAUGCAAGUCAGAAUAUCAAUAAGCCUCGAUGAUUGAGCUCAUAGAGGAAUUCACCACUCGCACAUCUAAUUGUUUUUCAUCAUGCUUGCCAUAGCAAAGGCUAAAUAUAGCACAAAUUCCACCUCAACUAGAAAAAAGUAGAAUCAACAACGGAUGUGACACCACAAAAAGUAUGGGCUAUAUCCUGACGUGUAACUUCAGUUAAGGUCUAAAUCAGAUAAAUAUUUCAACUUAACAAUUUGCUACAACUUCAAGUGAAAAAUUAGUACAAAUGCAAUAAUGAAGCAUAUUUGUAGAACACAAAAUUAAAAAGUUCCAUUUAUUUCUAUUGUAAGUACUUUAAGAAGGCAAGUCAGAAUAUCAAUAAGCCUCGAUGAUUGAGCUCAUAGAGGAAUACACCACUCACACAUCUAAUAGUUUAUCAUCAUUCUUGCCAUAGCAAAGUUAUGUUAUGAAUAUAAAUAGAAAUAUACUGCAAACCACAUCUAAAUUAGGGAGAUUCAAAGCAUCUUUUGUUGGAACAAAAAGAUAGCAACUUUCAUUUUCAACAGUGACAAAUUAUUCAAACACACAAAUGCUUAAUUUUCAAAGCUGAAAUUUUGUCUUAGAACAAAUAGAAAGUACUACAUAAGACAAGUCAGAAUAUCAAUAAGCCUCGAUGGUUGAGCUCACAGAGGAAUUCACCACUCGCACAUCUAAUUGUUUUUCAUCUUUCUUGACAUUACACAACAAUAUUAAUAACAGAACUAGAAAGAUAAUGCACAUACCACCACAAAAAAAGCUCCACAGAAACCAAUAAACUUUACAAUCUCAUAUCAUUAAGAUAGAAACAAGGAGCAUAGCCCCAAAACUCCAAAAAUUGGCACAAUGGUCAUAUAAGGUGGCACCUUUCUAAUUUCAAACUAACUUAAAUUCUUAUCCAAGUCCUAAAAACAAAAAUUCAAAGGACUUCUCUUUUUCCUAAAUCGAAAAGAAAGUAGUUCUUAAAGGCAAGUCAGAAUAUCAAUAUGCCUCGAUGUUUAAGCUCAUAGAGGAAUUCACCCCUCGCACAUCUAAUUGUUUCCAAUCAUUCUUGCCAUACAAAAACAAAUAUACUUUAAAAAGAACCUGUUUGCAAUAUAAUCUAUACACUGCAUCAACAAGAGACAUUCCAAGUAUAUGUGUUUCCAUAACACAAAAGAUACACAACACUUCAAAAUUCCAAAACAACUCAACUAGAACAUUCCAAUUUAGCCACAGUGACAAACAUAUGCAACCAAACAAAUGGUAAAAACUAAAUUGAGACAACAAACUUCAAAAGAAUUCCUAUAUUUAAAAUCGAAAGUACUUCAUAAAGGCAAGUCAGAAUAUCAAUAAGCCUCGAUGAUUGAGCUCAUAGAGGAAUUCAACUCUCACACAUCUAAUUUUGUUUUCAUCACUCUUGCCAUAAGAACAAGGAAAUAUAAUAAACAAAAAUCACAAAAUAAUGUACACCCCACCUCAACUAGAGCCAUUCAAAACAUCUUUUGGUUCUAUAUCCCCAAUUGGGAAAGACAAAACCAAAAAAAAAGGAUAUGACUCCUGAAAUAAGGCGAGGCAAAAGGAGACUCACUAAAGGAAAACCCUAAAGAGAAAACUCCAGCAUAUAACACACCUUUCAUAUAUACAAUUGUACAUACAAAAGAGUGUGCAUAUAUACAAUUAAUAUAGCGCAGCUAUGACUCAAAACGCUUCCAUGGAGCAUAAUGGAAGGCGAUCUUAAGGGCGGCGCAAAAUGAAACAAAUUAAUCCAUACACAACACACUUUGUUAUAUAGCUCCAAUCGAUCAAAAUGUUGCAACAUAUUCCAAAAAUCACAUCUUUAAGAGAAAUUAAUGCAUACCCAAUAGCAUUUUGAUCAAUCCACGCAUCAUACACACUUCACAUACAAAAAAAACAAUUUUUAAGAAAAACCACUACACACCCAACUGCAUUUUGGACAACCAAAGCAACAUAAAAGCAAAACCCCUAAAAUUCAUGUAAAAAUUUUCGGUUUAUAACAUAAUUUUGAGUUUACCAGUCACGAUAAUCAACUGCAACAGAGAAACACAGCUGACUAAGUUGAAAAUGGCAAAUAAUUAUAGGGUAUUAUAACUUCCACUGUUAGCAAACUAAAUUGCAUAAGAGGUUUCAGUUAUUAACCCAUUAAAACAUGAAAUCAAAAAGAGGAAAAACACCAUACACGAAGAAAUUCAAUACGAUAAGCAAUGAAGAAGAAACUCACAAAGAUUCGGCUACAUUGGGGAUUGAUCCCCAAAUUAUUGAAGUGAAAAAUAGAGAUUUAUAGACUCAACAAUUAGGGUUUUAGCAUAGGAUUAAUGGGCUAAAGAGUGAAUGGACCUACAUAUUGCUGGUUGGGCCGAAGAGAUCUGUAUAGGCCCAAAUUGAAGAUCCAUUUCUUGCAAAAAAAAAACAAAGAAAUCUUUUAAUAAAGAGAAAACUUCAAAUGUGUCAUCGAACUUUGAGAAAAAGAUUCAUGUACAUCAAUCGUUAAAAGUUUAGUUUAUUUAUGUCAUUUUUCUUUUUAUAAAAAAAAUUUAUCCAUGUCAUUAUUUGUUACCUAAAAACAGUUUUGAUUUUGCAAAAUUAUCUUUUACAUGUGAUAUGGAUGACAUUAAUUAAAUCACGUUUUAAAAAGGACAAAAACUCAAGCAUGUCAUCAAACUUAUAAAAAAAAAAAGAUUCAUUUAUGUCAUUUUAAAAAAAAAUUGAUUCAUAUAUAUCAUUUCAAUUAACAAAUAAUGAUAUGAAUGAUGAGUCAAAUUUUUAAUACGAUGACAUAUUUGAGUCUUUCCUCUUCAAGUAAAUAAUGCAUGUAAAAGUUGUUUUUACUAGUCUUUAAUAUAAGACUUCCUAAUUUUCCAAUUUGUUAUUGAAAGGUAUCUUUUUAUUUCAAACAUAGCUUGUUUCAAAAUACUAUUUGGGGGUUAAACUUUAUUCCAUGUUUUACUUUGAAAUAAUAGUUAAUCUUUGAAUGAUUUUAUUCAAAUAUUUAUACUAAAAUUGUAUAAUUUCAAAAUCUCAAUUUCAUCUUUAUAAAUUUCGACUAUACAACGUCCUGAAAACAGUUGUUUAUGCAAUUCGUUUUAUCAAGUAUAUAUCCAUAAUGAAAUAAAGCUUUAUAACUAACAGAAUUGUGAAGAUAAAAAGAGUAUAAAUUUAUCCAACAAUUAGCCUGCAUAAACCAAAUUUAAGAGAACUUAACUAUCUCGAAAAGCUGGCAAACUCAAAAUGAAGGUGGUUUCGAAACCAAAAGUGCUCAACUACAGAGUGUUCAGAAAUCAAAUGUAAAUAGAUAUCGAAAGCUGCAUUUUUCGACAACAAUAUUUUCCUCCAAUUUGCAACAUGCUGCAGAAAAGAGAAAGAGUCUUCACAGCCUCCUUCCCCUUCUACCACCCUUUCUGCGAGUACUAUCGGUGGGAAUUGGAGUAACAUCCUCUGCAAAAUAUAUAGGAAGAAUUACUUAAAAGUGAUGACAUAACAAUGAUACAACAGAUUAUAUGGAGCAUAUUACGAGAACUUUGCCAUGAUACGAUACUGAUGCAAGAGAGAAAAGCUUAUGUACCUAUACGUCCAAUUUUCAUGCCAGAACGAGCCAAAGCUCUAAGAGCGGACUGGGCACCAGGACCAGGAGUCUUGGUCUUGUUGCCUCCUGUAGCUCGGAGCUUAAUGUGAAGAGCAUUAAUUCCAAGUUCCUGUAAAUCAAAAGUUCAUAAAUAAUAUUUUAAAAGAUUAACAAGUGAUGACGAGACCUAGUGACAUCAGACUAGAUGGAUAAAGAUGGACGUAUCCGAGCUUGAGUCUUAAAUAUAGUGUAGCUAUAUUUAGACUCUGAAUAAAUGGCAUAGCAUGGAACCCAUUAACAAUGAUUCUGACCACCAUUCCGAAACCUUGACGCUUAAAUAGAAUCUGAAGCACACAUUUUUCCAUAGUUCAAGCACCACCAGCGAUUAUGCAACUGUUAGUGGUAAAAGUGUCCGAAAAUUGAAGGUGCACACAUCACUUCAGAAUGGAAUCUUCCAUAACAAAGCCUAAUAGAUCCAAACCGGUGACAUAAAAUCUACGGGUCUCUACAAUAUGUUCGAAGGAAUGGCAUUUAUUCCAAUCAAUUAUACACAAAUUUUUUAUUGUUAAGCAAAAGUAAGAUGCAUCAGGCAUAUGGAACCCAAAAACAAUCUUAUAGACCAUCUACAUCCUAGCAAGAAACAUAGAUAGGAGUAAAGGCCAUCAUGUACAUUAUAAGAUCUUCGAAUGUCUAGUCGGCAGAAUUAUUGGCUUUAGCACACAUUCAGAAAAGGGAGGCAUCAGAAGAUCCAAAAGGUCUUAAAUUUCGAAACUGCUAAAUUUUAUCUACAAAGCAACACUCUACACUUAUAGAAGAGCUAUGUAAUUUGGCACCUAUAUUACUGGUCAAUGCAAGAAAGGAUAAAUCCCUGCACCAACAUGGAAUGCAACAUCCAGGAGAACUAAACAUUACAUCAAUAUCCAGUGAAAUUAGUAUAGUGACUUUCUUCAGAAAUAAAAUCUAAUAUUAAUCUCUGUGAACAGUACCAUAUAGGCAAAAAGUCUUCAUUUUUUUCGUUCAUACAUAAAUGGUUUAUAUUGAUAUAGACCUGAACUAGACCAACUUUAUAUCUGAUGAGCUUAACUAACAAUUAAGUAGAAUUAAGGAAAUUGACUUUAUCAGAACCAAACAAGACACUACCUUGCAUCGCUGUGACACAUCCUGAGCUGCAAGCAUAGCAGCAUACGGAGAAGACUCAUCUCUGUCAGCCUUCACCUUCAUUCCACCUGCAACAAAAAUGUAUAACAAUUUGAGAUGAAAGGCUUCUCCAUACCAUUACGACAUCAACAACUAAGAUUAAACUCCACACUAGACGGAACCUCUAUACCCAUUUUCCUUCUUCCUAGAAGGAUUAUAUUCUAAUACCAAUAAUUUGCUGCCUCAACCAUAUCAAGGAUUCCCUAAAACUAUAGAUGCUCUACAUUCUUGAUUUCCCUAAAACUAUAGAUGCUCUACAUUUCCUACCACUUACAUUCAUCUAUAUUGAAAAAGUAAAUAUAUGUCUAUCCAAUAGGGAUAACAACAACAGAAUUAGCAUCCUGGAAGAAAGGCAUCUACAUUUAUACAUAAACCGAUGUUCGCAUCGAAAGCAACAAUUAUACUGCUACCAGCUAAUCAGUAACUACAAGGAUACAGUCAAAAGUAUAAAACAAUUGUUUCUAUAAGGCAUACCAGUAAUGCGAACCAUAGUUUCUCUUCCAGACAAAUCAGUAACGUGCUGCAUUCAUCACAUACACUAAGAAUCAGUAAAACACACAAAUAACAAAGCCAAAUCUACAUUUCUACAUCAAAUUUUCAAAAACCAUAACUCACUCACAAUGAAUGUAUCAUUGAACGAUGCAAAAAUGUGUGCAACACCGAACACCAAUUCACCUUCCCUCGUUGCUGGUCCAAGUGUAACAGUCUCUUCCUUAGGCUCCCUGGUCUUUCUCCUCGACUACAAACAAACAAUUUCAUCGAACAUACAGUUUUUCAAUUCAAAUUAAUCAAAUCAAACUAAAUAUAAUCGACAUAAACAGCAAAUCUUCAGUAAUGAAAUGGAAAUUUCAGCACGAGAAAUAGUACCAUGGCUUCAGCUGAGCUUGAUAGUGAGAAAAUUCAGAGAUACUCAGCAGCUUGAAGAAACCCUAAUUUGCAGUGGAAGCUCACAAAAAUGGCUGCCGCUGUUUAUAUAUUAGGGUUUGGGGAUGAGCUUUUUUCUGAUAAUAUCGAUAAUUACCCCAAUUGUUUUGAUUUGACUAUAAGUGGCCCCUCUAGUUUGGGUGAAAGUUUAUUCCUACCCCUCUUAUUGUUUUAUUGGUAAGAUUUAUCCCCCGUUAUACGAAUCGAUUAUUUUUAAUCUCGUCGAUAAUAAGCUCAACAAAUAUAUCCCUUGAUGUUUCCUCCGAUCGGGUAUUAGUAUCAAAUUUCAAGUGGAUCACCGAUAACUAAGUUUUGAUCAUCUUUCUUCUGUAACUCAAGGUAGAAUUUUUUUCAUACGCGAAGUUUGUUUCAAAUUAAUAAGGACCUGAUACAUGUUUUUGUGUAUAUACGUAAUUAUUAUGAAAUUAGUAAUUGAUUGAUAAACAUUUUCGUUUUUCAAUCAUAAAAAAGUUGUAUUAUAGUUGAUUUAUUAACAUUUUUGUUUUUCAAUCAUGAAAAUUGUGUAUGAAUUGAUCUCAUUGAUAAAUAAUCAAAUAAGGCAUGGGAAUAAGAUUUAGUGUGAAUAAUUUGUAUUGUUUUUGUUAUCAUGUCAAAAAGAAACUAAACUUGCUAUUUAAUUUGCUAAAUAUACUUUCUUUAUUAUAAUUUAUGUGACGUAAUUUAAAUUAACAAAAAAAUUAAAAAAUAAAUUAGGCUUUUGGUUUAAAAUAUAUCAUAGAGUACAAUUUUUGUAUUAUCAUUUUGUUAAAAUACAUGAUCUUAAACGUAUUAGAAUAUAUGUAUGACUAUAAAAGUUGAGAUUUGUUAAAUCUUUGCUUUAACAUAUAUAGUAAAGAUUGUGGUGCUUUGGGACAAAUUUUGCUUCCUCUUACUUUCUUUUUUCACCUAAAAUUUUUACAGUGUUCAAAUAAGUUUAUGUAUAUUUCAAUUAAUUUUGUGAUAUAUUUACUAUUUCUUAUCAAUAUAAAUAUCAAAUUAUAUUAUUUAUCAAAACUUAGACAAAUAAAAAACUAGUUAUACUGUUAUAGUAUAGAAGAAAAACAAGAUUAGAAAUUAAGUUUUUUAAAAAUCGAAAAAAAUUAUUGACAGCUGUGGGAUUUGAACCCACGCCCUUUCGGACCAGAGCCUAAAUCUGGCGCCUUAGACCACUCGGCCAAACUGUCAGAUAUGUAUUAAUUUGAAUAAUUUAUUAUUUAUAAUUAUAAUUAUCCAACAAUUACAUUAACAUGAAUUAAGAUUAAACAAAGAAGUAAAAAUUCAUAUAGCCUAACUUUCGAAAUGCAUAAUUGGUGUUAUUAUUAGUUACUCAUAAAAAGAUGAGGUGGCGAAUCAGACACUCUUUCGUCAUAUACCACAUAUAUAAAAAUGGUAUUCAGUAUAUAGGUCGAAAAUUCUGUUUCAUACAUUUAUAUCAAAUCUUGAACACAUACGCUUAACGAAAUUUCUAACACCUUCAUUGUUAAAUAGAUGAGGAGUUAUCAUCUUCAUAACCAAAGGAUAUUCUAUAUAUAAUAACUAUGCUUAUAACAAAACCAAAAUGACCAAUUAUUUUUUGUAUGAAUAUAAGUUACAAAAUGAGAAUUUGUACUUAAUCAAAUGGAUCUAUUCGAAGGUCAUGUUCACUUGCCAUCACCAUCCCAGUACACAGACAUGUAGGGCACAUUACCUAGCCAAAAAAUAUCAUAAUAUGAAACAAAAAACAUUAGCAUAUAUACGUAUACGAUAAGGGAAAGUUAUCGUAACAUGUGAUGAGAGAUGCAUGCGCGUAUUUGUGACAUGCAUCUUCUUAGAGGAACUCAUUUCGUAGGUAGCAACGAGCAAGGAUAGGAAGAAGGGGUUCAACGAACCUUGUUGUUGUUGAGGAUGUUAUUCUAACUACAAGGGAAGGCCUCAUUUUGGCCAUGUAAUGUGGACGAAUAUGACUGUUUUAUUCUUCGGUCACACAUUUUUGAGAUGCUCGACUAUGGGACGGAUUGUAACAGACACAGAUAUUUGUUUUUUCUUGUAAAGUUACUACUUAUUGAACUGAUAUAAUAUGACUGUUGAGUGCAUGAAGUAGGGAGAUGAUCAUGUUUCAUACCUUUCCAGUCCCGGAGCAAUUCGCACAUCUUUUAAGAGUUGGUGCACGCAACGAUUGAUAAGAACCAUUCACUGAAAUUGGUUCAGUAUAGAGGCAUUUACCGCUUGCUGAACAUCGUGCACAUGCCAAGUACCCUACACCAAAUCAAAUGACCAUGAAAUGAGAUUAUGGUCAGUACCAUGAACUCAAAUAAUCAAAAAAAGACACUGACUAUUGGUCGAGAGUUCAAUAGUGUAGACAUUGUGCAAUGAUAUGUAAUAAGUUUCACAUGAACAUACCACUUCCAUAGCAAUAUUUGCACUUUUUCUUCUCUUGUUGGACUACAUUGUUAGCUUCUAUUAGCAUGAGGGCUGAGAUGACUCCCACUGCCCCGCCUGAAAAGGACGCCACUAUGGGGUCGACCUGGCUGAGAAGAAGAGAAAAAGAAGUCGGUACCCAAAUUCACGAGGACGUAAGUGGUCUUCUGUUUCUAUUUUGUGACGCUCCUUUUUUGGGAAGGUAAAGAACAAUGCAGUGAACAAAUGUGCACAAUUUAAUGAUGUUUGUGAGGAACAAUUCACCGACCUUUUCUACACAUGAAAAUGUAGUUCAGGACUUCAGGUUACAGUUUACAUACCUCAAUUGCAUAGGCAAAUGCAUGUUACGUAUAAAAUCUUCGUAUGAGGUGCCUCCUAGACCUAAUUUCAGCUCAAGCUGCAAUAUCAAAGAGUUACAAUAGUCGAAAGACUUCAUCAUUCAAGAAUAGGGAAAUAAAUAACUCCAUAGUACCGUUAUGCAUAAUGCAGAACCAGAAUAAGGAUAAGGAAAUAAUUGAGUUCAUGAGCUUACUACUGGGGCAAGUAAUCCACCGAAGACCAUAAUCCCAGCUAUAAAUGAAAAGCUUGUAAGAUAAAGCUGCUUUAGUGUCUUUGGAGUCUGAUACAAACAAAAAAGGCACCAAGUAGAGAAUAAGUGUCACAAAAUGCUGAUCGACAAACAAAACAGAAUACGUCAGUUUCAUAUGAUAUAGGUCAGUUAGACAAGCUUCCAGACAUCUCAACUCAAAAGUGUUACAGCAGUGACGAAGCUUGCAAAGCUUCACAUGUAUUGUAUAUUAACUUGAGGUCGUUGUAGGAACUCAUAAAUUUGAAUCUCCGAUCCGCUAUGUUUGUCAAGUUGCUUACUUUGACAAACCAAAACAUGAAAAAAUGACUUCCCCGAAACAGCGAUUUUUGUUUAUAACUGGAUGUAUAAAACCUCCUAAGACCAAUUGAAUCCCUAGUAUACUUCAGUUGUUUACAAGAGGACUCGGCAAAUUACCAUGUUAGGAAGAAAUGGUAUCGUUGAUGGGAUAUCUGGCAUCUCAUUUUCAUCUUCACCGGUCUCACCUCUAGUGUUAGAGUUCUUUAACCUUUGUUGUAUUCUUAGCCGACGUACCUGAAAAAUUAAUCCGGAUUUUAAGAAGCUAUUUGAGAGUACAAUCCUUGGGAAAUAAUAAGUUGUUCCUUUAAGUUCCCUUAGAGGAUGUUAAGAACUUGAGAAAACUCACCUCUUCCAUAAGGAGGAAGAUUUUGUUGCGCCUGCUCCUAAUGUUAUCCUGGAUUUCUUGAAACUGCAUCUGACCAAAAUCUUGAACGGUCUCGGGUCCUUCAAUGAUGCAGAAAUUACUGUAAAAAACAUGGACCAACAUUAGUUAACUUCAAAAGAACACAAGCUUAUAGAUUAUGAGUCAAAUAACAGAAAGCAAUAUACAAUCAAUCAAAGCUUAUAGGAGUCCAACACGAGCGUAUGCUGUCUUGGAUUUCUUCAAACUGCAUCAGACCAAAAUCUCGUAUGGUCACUGGUCCGCAAGUGAUGUACAAAUCAUCAUACAAACAUGGAGCAACAUUAGUUAACUUACAAAAUACAAGUUUAUAGAUUAGGAGUCCAAAAAUAGCAAUCAAUAUAAACUCAACAAGCCACUCCUCAAUAUUAAGGAAGUUGGUCUUAGCUAUAUGAAUCUUGUGUAUCCGUUCUGCUCUACGCGUUUCCCAACAUCCAAAUGAGUUCAGUUGUGCAGACAAUUUAUACUAGUUAGAAACUAUCUUGUGCUGACCUUCAACCUAUAACAAGUCAACAACCCUACUCAAUGACCCUGACUUGAGACAGGCUAUACUCUACAAAGUUCCCACUUCCCAUACAACAGAGUCAUCAGUCCAAAAACAUCAUUCUAAAGCACUUCAUUGUAGCAAAAUACUUCAUAAUGAUCUUCUCCGCCUCAGGAACCUUAACUAUCGCAACUUGAGUAAAACAAUGCCAUUCAGUAAAGGUAAAAGUUCCUGCACCAAAUCUCCAAUAAGAACCAAAAAGGAUGUUAACCAGAUGCUAAACUUACAAACUUCUUAACAUUUAUACAGUUCCCGUUAUCCCGUAUCAUUAUUUCAGCCAUAUACAUGAUCAUGUUACUGUCAAAGGAGGAUUAAUCUGCCUCAAACCCACAUGAGUCGAGAACUUCGAGAACUCAUCAUAGUUAGUAACUACUUUUUUGCUGGUCUUCAACCUAUAGCACUCCCCAUUUACACAAACUAAAGACAGCUACGCUACCAAGUUCACAUACAGCCAGAGUAAUGAAUCCCGAAAACAUCAUUUUAGAAAAGCUAUAUGUAGCAAACUACUUCAUAAUGAUCUUUAUCAAAUCACCUACCUUAACCUUCAGAACUUCAAGCAAAACCAUGAAAAAAGAAAAAAAUUCCUUGAAACCAAAUAGUAAAGUUACAAACUUUUUAAAUAUGGAUACAGUUAGAAAAUCAAUAUAAAUGGACAUAUUAAACUUUUAAAUGAGUAUUUUGCCAUGACUUGUUCACUCCUGUUAUUUUUUUUUGUCAACCUGCUUUGGAAAUUUUUUAGCCGAGGAUCUAUCGGAAACAACCUCUCUACCUCCCAAGGUAGGGGUAAGGAGUGUGUACACUCUACCCUCGUAGACUUCACUUGUGGGUUUACACCGGUAUUUUAUUAUUGCUGUUGUUGUUUUAAAGCCUCCCAGCAAGAGGCUAAAGAAUUCACCUUUCCCAAACUCAACAAACAAAAAACUUGCCCAAUAUCUCAAACCAAACAUAAUUGUCAAGAGCAAAUCAACACUAAAAUACCAAAUUAACAAGAAAUUUGAUAACCUAACGUUGGAUUAUUAUCUCCAAAAGUAAGUUAACUAGAUGGUAAAGUCACAAACUUUAUCAACAUAUAUACAGUUUUAAUAUCAAUAUUUCAUCCAUAUACAUGGUAAUAUGAAAUGAGGAUCAUUCUACCUUAAACUCCAACAGAUAAAAUUUCCAAUUUCUAAAUCAUGCCACACCAAAGAAUUUACCUUUACCAAACCCAACAACAACAUAUCCGUGUAAUCCCACAAUGUAGUGUCUCGGAAGCUUAGAGUGUACGCAGAUCUUACCCCUACCUGUUGUUCUAAACUUACAAACUUUAUCAACAUAUAUACAGUUCUAACAUCAAUAUUUCAUCCAUAUACGUGAUAAUAUUAAAUUGUCAAAUGAGGAUUAUUCAACCUUAAAAUCCAAAAGACAAAAAAAUUCCAAUUUCUAAAGCUUGUGACACCAAAGAUUUCACCUUUACCAAACUCAACAACAACAUACGCAAUGUAUUCCCACAAAGUGAUGGUCUAGGGAGAGUGUACGCAGACCUUACCCUCCUUAGACGAAGAGAGGUUGUUCUAGACUUACAAACUUUAUCAACAUAUAUACAGUUCUAACAUCAAUCAUAUACAUAGUAAUACUAAGCACUCAAAUAAGGACUAAUCUACCUUAAAACUCCAAAAAAGACAAAAUUUCCAAUUCCUAAAUCUUGAAAUACCACAGAAUUCACCUUUAUCAAACUAAAAACUACCCAAACAUAAUCAUCAAGAGCAAAUCAGCACCAAAAAUACCAAACUCAAAAAAACUUGAGAACCAACAAGAAAAUUUUGAAAAUCCCAACCUUGUAUUACUAUCACCAGAAGACUCAAAGCCAUCCUUAGAUGAAGAAGAACAAACAAACUGAGUUCUUGCUGUGUAUUUCAAUAAAGAUUGGUUUUUUAGAGUUGAACUCAAAGAAGAGCUAAACAAAACAUGGGUCUUUGAGGAAUCAAGCUUAGAAGUAUGUAUUAAUGGAUGAAAACAAAAAAAGAUAGAACCCAUCUUCACCCUUUUGAGAAACAAAAAUUAAAGAAUAACAGCAAAAUGAAAAGAUUAGAAGAUGGGUUUUUUUUUGGAGGAUUAUAUUGAGAAUCAAAGUUCUUUAUAAGAGGAUGAUGAUGAACUUGCUUUAUCUAAAGAUUGGGCACAUAAACUCAUUUUUAGUAUGAUAAAUGACAUAAAUUUUUACCAACAUUGAGUUGUGAUCGAACCGCGUGGGCAUUCGGUAAUUCGGUUCGGCUUCGAUUUUUUUAAAUUUUUUGGUUUUUGUACAACGUAUACCGAAUACCGAUCGAAAUAAUUCAGUUUGGUUUGAUUUUUAUUAUUUCGGUUCGAUUUAUAUUCUUUCAAUUUGAUUUUGUUGUUUCGUUUUUUUAAUGGGCCCUUAGUGGGCUUUUUAAAAUUUAAAAUUGAGAAACUUACAUGAAUAUACUAUACUAAAAAAAUAUUUAUCAUUUAUAGCAAUAAUAUUUUUUUUCACUUGAUCACUUUUAAUUCAUUUUAAUAUAAGAUUAAUACAUAUUUCAAAGAAGAAUUUAUUAUUCACAUAUAAUACAAGUUUUAAUGAUUGAUAAUACAGUUAUCACACAUUUUAAUACACUUAUAAUGCAAUGUAACAAUUUUUAACCAAACAAACAUAAUAUAUUUCAAAAACAAUUAUAAUUCAAAUAUAUUGUAUACAUAAUUCACUUUUAAUACAUAUUUAUUACAAUAUUGCUAUAAAUGGUAUUAAACAAAAAGUAUCGCUAAAAUCAGUAAUUAUUUUUCAAAAUCUAUUAAUUUAUGUAAUUUUUCCUUUAAAAUUUUACAAAUUAUUUUUGUUUGAUUUUUCAGCUUAAUGGACUAAAAAUAGUUACAUCAAAGAGGUGUCUUUUAAUUUUAAAUUUUAAAUUAUAAUAUUUAUUAUUUAACAUUAGUAAUUAAUAUAAUAUAAAUAUAUAUUAUGAUAUAAUAUAUUUUGGUAAAUCGAAAUACCGACUAACACAAAAUUACAUAUCGAAAACCGAAUCAAAAUAUCAAAAAAUACAAAAAUGUAUACCGAAUAUCGAAUCGAAAACCGAAAAAUCGAAAUCAAAAUAUCAAAAAAAUUCGAUUAGGUUUUCUGAUAUUUAUGCCCAACCCUAAACAAUUGAGUUUUUUCAUUCUUGAUAAAGAUCGAACAAAAAUUAUUUAAAGUACCCUUUAUUGGAUAGUGUUGUAUAUUUAAUAUAUGAUAUUUUUCGAUGUGAAUUUAAACAUGAAUGUCAAUAUCUAGUGAAAAAUCAAAAAAGAAUGAAGAAGUGAAGUUUCAUAUAGUUGAAUUUAACUUAGAGAUUGGGUUAUUAUUAUUAUAUUGUAUUUCGAUUAAUUAUCCUUUUUUUUUGUUUUAAUUUAUGUAAAAUUGUUAGAAUUGAUAUAAAAGUUAAAACAAAGGUUUAGAAAUUUAUCGUCUAAAAUAUUCAUUUCAUCAAGGAUAGAAAUGUCAAAUACUAAGAAGCUGAUAGAAUUGUUUGGAAGAGGUCGAAUUUAACUUCUACGAAUUAUCAUAACUCGUAUAUAAAGCAUUACUUAUAACAUAAAAAGAUCCUAUAAAAAUAUUUAUAGUUAAUUAUCUAUGACAAGUGUAAUUAAUAAUAUUUAUAACAUUGAUUUUGAAAUUUUGGCGAUUAUAAACACGUUCUAUUUUAAUACAGCAAACUUUUAUUAGAAAUUUGAAGUGAAAUUUGAUACGAUAUUUUCUUCAUUAAAAGAAUAUGUUUGGUACGCCGAAAAAUAUUAUGUUUGAAAAAUGAUUUACAGGAAGAUGAGUGGGUGUUCUAUUUAUAUUUUUGUUUUGAUACGUAACUAAAAAAUAUAUUAUUCUAAAAUAUUAAUAUAAUUUUAAAUAAAUACUAUUAAACAAGAAAAGAAAAAGGUACAAAUAUGAUAAUCCUUCGGUCACUCUAUACAGAAGUCUUAGAUUUGAGUUCUUUUUUUAAAGAGAGCGUGGCGAAUUUUUUAUGUAUUAAAAAUGUCCAAUGUGUCUGUACGGGAAACUAAAUCUUUCACCACGUAUAUUCACAUUAGUGAAAAUGUCCGAAAAACUAAAUCGUUCACAACGUAUAACCACAUUAGUAAACGUCCGAGAAACUAAAUCUUUCACAAUGUAUAUCCACAUUAAUAGAUGUCCAAUGUGCGUACCGAACACCAGACGGGAUACCAAGUCUUUAACUUCAAGUUAACUACAUGCUAUGUAUGACACUCAAGAUUCUUCACUUGUAAUAAAGUUUUCAUUGAGUUUUAAAGAAGUGAAAUGUUCUUUAUACAUAAAAAAGAGUGUUGAAAGAGAGAAGUUUUGUAAAAAUAUACAAAAAAUUGUUCCCAACUUUCAAACACUAGCUAUCUCAACAGACUUCUGAAGGGCACCUAAGAGGCUUCUCAUGAUUCUUGGCUCACCGGGAGGCGCCUUAUCUCUCGAGGGUCCAUUUCGUAUGGCUCGAAAUAUUGGAGGUGAAGUCUCAGUUGCAGGGAAAACCAUACAGUCUAUAUAUGCAAGAACUUCAGUUUGAGCAUCAUCAACUGAAAUGAAACAAACUCUGGCUCCGCGAGGAAUUUUAUCAACCUGUAUACGAAAGUAAGUCUCAUCUUGAUGAUGAACAUUGUGUAUACAACACGAACAAUUUCGAGUGUUUAGUCUGUGAAUGUAAGAAUGACUAGUAGUUUCUUCUGCAUAAGUCGAAAGACAGGAAAAAGAAAACAGAAUCUGCCUAUUUUUUUGUUAUAAAGGACAAUUGAUGUUUACUUCUUUAUAUUUUGAAUCUCGAUUGAUUGGUUAAUAAUGUUCUCGAGGUUGUAUAUAGUCCGAUGUUCAAUGAUAUGACUCUCCUACUGACUGCAUUGCUUGAAUGCAGAAACAGUAUAUCGAGCUUAGAAAUGAGGACGAGUUACCUUUAGAGGCACCGGUAGUGGCAACAUAGCUCCUUGACAAAGGCUGUUAGCCCACUGCAAGUCACAAAACAAAGCAUCGUUAACAUUAACAUACUAGCAUUAAACGACAACAACUAUGCCUCAAUCCCAAAUAAGUUGGAGUCGGUUAUAUAUAUAUAUAUAUAUGUAUACUCACUAAUCCAGUUUAUAUACAAAGAUAUCAGUAGAAACGACGUCUUUCCUUUCUAUGUUGACACUUGAACAGAGAAUUUGCAUGUUAAAUGAUGCACACAGAGUCCAAACAUGAACAAAGGUCAUCUGCAAAAUGCACAAAGUCCACGAACACGAACAUGGAACUUUGUUAUGACUUCUUUUCAAUUCUCCAUCGUUCUGUUCUUGUUCUCGAGGUGAUGUAUGCAGAAAUGAGAUUCUCUAAGAGAACAAAUGUGUUAAACAGUAAACUAGUCCUUUCAUUACAAAACUUGCUGCUAAAUGAAUCGAAAUGUGACUAAUGUAUCUCUUGUUUGGAUAUUAUAGCUUCAUACGCUAUAGCCUCGAGUCCUUAAGUGGUUAUUGAAUACUCUUUAUAAACCAGUAUGACUAAUUAGCCAUUCUCUUGAACCUCUAGGUCUUCGGAGUUAACCAUAUGAUAAUUCAUAUUCCGAGACCUCUGGUUAAAAGGUGAAAGAACCUUUACCAUUCCCACACCUCUUGGUGGUUGUUGAAGUUUUUUAAAACAAACACAUAAACACAACAAAAGUUCACUUUUCUUAAUCUAUGGUUUCAAAGGGAAGAACCACUAGGGAUUCUAUAACUAGUCUAGCACACUCUUUUCUUACCACUUCUAAUUAGAUAGACUAAAAAUACUUAUUGCAAUCAAAUGAAAUUUAUACAAACAAAAGUGAAGAUCAGGGGUGGUUCGACAGUGUUGAAAAAAAAGACAUGUGUCUUAGGCCUUCAAAUUUAAGGCGUUCUAUUUUUAAUAAUAAUAGGUUAUAAGUUAUUAUUUAUGAACAAAUAUUGAAUACUAUUUGUAGAAAAAGUAAACAUUUCAUGAAAAAUGAAGAGAUUAUUAGAAGAAAUUCGACAUAUCUGUAGUACUAUAUAUCUCAUGAAAUAUAAUUUUUAAAAUAAGCAUGGUAACCAGAAGAAAUCAAUUAUAAAAAAAAAUAUUAACAAUUUAAGUUUAAAGCCCCGUUUGAUUUUUGUUUUAGAUAACUAAUACGCUUAAGGCGUCCCUGGUAAAAACAUUUCAACAUAAAGGCUGUCCGGUACACAAAUCAUCCUGUGUUAGCAGGGUCCAAGGAAGGGUCACACCCUGUGAUGUAGACAGUCUACCCUAAAACAAGCAUUUAGCGUCUGAAUAAGCAAAAACAACUUUAUUGUUGCUCUAAAGCUCGUUUAACUGUCUUUGAAAACAAACUCACAAUCAAAAGCAAUACCUGAAAAAGUAGGGUUUCAAAUCUAGCAAGAUCAAUAUCUUUUGGCAAUUUCAUUGUUCCCAAAGAAACCCCAUCUUCAUAAUCUUGAUCAUUAGGUCCAUCUCCUCCACUUGCUUUCACCACAACACUCAAAUUAUGAUAAUUUGAAAACUCACUGAGGUUAAACAACCUAUUGUUAGUGUUGGUGAUGAACAAAGUUGAAGGAGGAAUAGACCUAGUUGGACAAAUUUGCACUUGAGAAUUAUGUGUUAUGUGAAAAAAUUGUUUGGUUGUUAAGGAAGACAUGGCUAAUUGUCUUACCCUUUUUCUUUUUGUUGUUGUUGUUUUAGUUUUUGUUAUUUUUUUUGCUGUUAGAAGUGGUUAUUUUUAUGAACAUGUUGAUGAGAUAUUUAGAUAGGAUAAGGGAUUUUUGCAAAUCAGUGGUGGACAGUCUACAAUAAAAAAUAACAAAAGAUUAUUACCAAAAAUAAUAUACAAAAAAAAGAUUUACUUCUUAGUCCAGGAAAAAAUUACAUGAAUUAAUACAUUUUUAAAAAUAAUUACUGAUUUUAACGAUACUUUUUGUUUGUUAUCAUUUAUAGUAAUACUGUGAUAAAUCUGUAAUAUGCAUUGAAAGUGAAUUAUGUAUGCAAUAUAUUUGAAUUAUAAUUGUUUUUGAAAUAUCUUAUGAUUGUUUGGUAAAAAAUUGUCAAAUUGUAUUAUAAUUGUAUUAAAAUGUGUGAUAAAUGUAUUAUCCAUCAUUAAAACUUGGUAUUAUAUGUGAAUAAUAAAUUGUUCUUUGUAAUAUGUAUUAAACUUGUAUUAUAAAUGAAUUAAAAAUGAUCAAGUGAAAAAAAAUAUUAUUGCUAUAAUAAUAAAUAUUUUUUUAUUUAUAAUAUAUUUAUAUAAGUUUCCCUUUUUUAAAAUAGAAAUAUGAUUGUGAUCCGUUCCUUGGACUCUUGCAUAGAGAUAGCUAAGUACACUAGAUUGAUCAUUUUUUUAUGGAAGUAAAAGAUUCUGAUCUGACCCUCGGACCUUAUGCAUAGUGAAAGCUUAAUGUAUUAGAUUAUCUUUUUUUGUUUUUUAUAAAUUCGUAGUCUAAAACAAUUCGUUGUCAUUAGCCAAUACUGGAAACAUCUUUGACGUUGGUUCAAUCCUUCCUCAAAUCCUACACAUAGCCGAAACUUAAAUCUUUGAGACGACAAUAUCGAGUGGAUUUAGUUAGAUGGAAACUCCCGCGUAGUUAGACAGGAGUUUCAAUGAUCAUCUACCUUAUCUAAUAAACUAUGUGCCCGCAUAGAUCUAGCAUUGGAGUUUAAAGAGUCCUUUAAUUUAGUAUAAAAGAAUAAUACUAAAUAGAAUGUAUUCAUUAUUUUUCCAUUAUUAAUAUCUAGAAAUACAUGAGAUGAUAAAUAAACACAUGAAAAAUGCACCAAAUAAGAUAUUGCUAAUACAAGAAGUUAAUGCAUUCAUUAUUUUUCCUAAUACACUCUACCAAACGAACCCUAAAAGUGAUCUUAAAGUUAUAUAUACAAGCAAUAUUGUUGCAAACAAGAGUUUAGCUAAUAGUAUAGAAUCAUAGCUCACUCUGAAUCCAAAUAUAAAAACAUGGAAAAUGGGAUUUUUUCGAAAGGACGAGGAAGAUAAAAUAAAUUAUGAAUUAAACAAGUUUAUUUUGCCUGUCAGAUAAAAAGAAAUUAAUUUGAAGCUAUUUUCUCAGUUUUUUUUCCUCUCUUUGCUGCUGUACAAGAUCCACAAGUAUCUAACUAAAAGUUCAUACAACCACCAAGCUGCAGCAACACCCUUUUUUGCAAACUGAAUGCAACAAUUUCCAUUCAUGCUCUCAACGUCGAGAGCAGAUCGUGCUGAAGUCCGUCUUCAUAUUGUCGUAAAAUUACUAUGAAGAGUGAGCUUCAAGCUUGGGAAGAAGACUUCGCCAUGCAUCUGCUAUGCCAUUAGAUAGCCGCGCCUGUCCCUUAGCAAAUUCAUGGAAAGCAAGUCCCAUAUCUGAUGUCUUCUGUUCUUGAAAUCGGACAAUCUCUUCGUUCAUAAGCCUUACUAUCGUAUCAAAUCUUCUCGAUGUUUCUUCCCCUUCAGCCUUAAGCUGUAUUCCGGAGAAACACAAUGUAAGUACCUGUCUGGGCAGUUCCACGACUAGCCAACUGGAAAAAAAAAAGUUGAACACACUGACCAUUUCAUACUCGCGCUCAGCCUCAGCCAACUUCUCUGAUCGUGUCAGCUUGUAUUUAUUUCUGCAAUGAAAAGGCAAGAGACGAAUUUUACUUCAGAACAGGGACUCUGAGAUACUGCGCAAAUGACUAAACAAGACUAUUAAGAGGAUUGCAUAUUUCCCUGUUUUAGAUAAAACAACAAACACAUGUUUCGACUCUUUACUUCACAGAUUAACAGGAUAGGAAUGAAAAAGAAGUCGCUGUUUAUAAUGGUAACUUUUCACCUAAGAUAUGCAUAUUACAUAUGCAAGAACGACGUCAACGAUUUUUUUCAAGACAAGGAGGACGCUACAUUAAAUAAAAUUGCAAAAAGUGACUUCAAUUCAUUCUUCAGUGAAUCAAAUUCUUAAAAGUAAUUUCUUCACUCUUCACUAAAUCAAAUACACACUUGGCACCAUCUAAUCUUGAACCUAGUAGUUACAGUUCAACACGUGAUGCUAAAAGGCCUUCCAUUGAUGUCCCAUCUAUGUAAGUUUGUAUAAAAAAACAUAUAUGGUUUGUCAUCAUUGUGAGAAAUACAGGAGAAAUACAUUAUUGAAUCGUGUAUCUACAUUAUUACAUUGAGACCCUAUUUAUAUUUUAUAGACACUGCAUUAGAAUCCUUUUUCAACUAGGAUUCCAAUUCUAGUUAAGAUUGUAUAUACUUAUUUCUACUCUAACAAUCAUAAUACUAUGCAACAGUAUAUACCAUUGGCAGAGUAAAAGUACCUAUAUGGCUAUUCUCACAAAAGAAAGAGGAGAUAGGCUGAGGUUGGGAGGAGGGGUGGAAAAAAGAGGGACCCAUGUAAACCUACGCAAAUCAAGGGGCCAACAUGAUGGCUAAUAAACCCAAUCAUAACAUUGAGCUCAAUGUAGGUGAAAUCAGCAAUUAAGUUGUACUUUUAUACAACAUGCAGGACAAUGAUAAACUAAUUAAAUACAGCAAAUUCUCAUACUGCAAAAUUUUUUGUAGCCGAUUAAAAUUUUUUGUUAACUUCUCCAGUAAAACAAGACCUAGACAGUAUUUACAUCAACAUCAAACCACAUCUCACACUAAACAUGCCUGGAUGAUAAGAGUAGCAGAUUAGACCAUACUAACAGUAAAACAGAAUGAAGCCUUGUUUAUCAGAUUUAAGAUAUCAUAGUGCAUAUUUAACCCUUCCCAUAAAAAUAAAAAAAUAAAAAAUAAAAAAAACCCUCCCCAUACACCUAGAAUGCAGUAGUGUCAUAGACCAGGUCAGUGUAUAAAUAUGACAUAGUUGAAGGAAAAACUUGCAACAGUUCAACAGAACAACCACCAAAUGCAAACCAAGAUCAGGUUUAAAAAACCACCAAAGGAACAAAACAGGGGGAAGAGCAGUACAGAUGUUGAGACAUACAAAUCAAUUUCCUUAAACUUAAUUGUCUCAGCCAGUUCACACUGUUUCUUGAAUGCAGUUGCUCUCUCUGCUAUCGUAGCCUGUUCAAAGUUAGCACGGAUAUUAGUGUAGGAGAGCAACAGAACACUAGGUUACUCUUAGCAAAGAAAAAGCUGAAAGUACAAAUACAGAUGCAACAGUUAUUUAUCUUUGAGGAUGCAGUAUUUGUCAAAUGUACUCAAGUCCUGAAGCAAGGCUUAGGGCAGCCUUGGCGCUUCACCUUGUUUAAGUUGAACCUUAUUGCCUUAAGGCAUGCCCGAGUCCUGAAGCUCAGCUCAAACCAGGGUUGGAAAAUGAUCUAGUACUGUUACCCAAAUGUUACAUAUGGAUAUACUAAAUGAUCAAGAACAGAAAAUUAUAUAUUUUGUAUGAAAAAUAAUUUAUCUUAGAUCUUAAGAAAAUACUUAAAAUUGCACCAUUGCAUAUUAAUUAAAAAUUGUGAUGGCAUCUGAAUGUAGUUGAUACAGAUUUACUUCAAAUAAUGUACAUGAUAACAAUUAUUGCAGUUUCUCUACCCAUAUAAUUACAAGUUAUCUUUAUAUUAUUUUUUCUUGCAUGUUAUUCAACUUCAUCAUGUGCUUAUAAUUAACUUCAUCAUGUGCUUUCUUCACUAAUGCACCCACGUUUUUGUCUUUUAGCCUUUGAUGACGCUGAACUGAAAAUUUCCAUCCACUUGUUGGGUAAAUAACACUGUUUCUUUUACUUUUUUUAAUUGGUGACUAACACCUUUUUCUUACAAGCAAAGUAGACUGCUCACCUUAAUAGAUUGCACUGCUCGAACAUAAUCCUUCAAAGGUUCUUCGAAGUUCAUUAAAAGGUGGUGGGCCUGAGUGACAGAGCAUUGCCUGUUAUCAUUACCUAAUUUUGUACAAGAGAAAAGACCAUGGGUUAUUCUUUGUUGAAAAUACCUCUUUCUGCAGCUUAAUUGAUAUUAUCUCAGACUUUGCCCCAAGUUCUGAAAAUGCUUUUCCAAGGGCAUCAUCAUCACAAGUACCAAGAAGCUUGACUGCCUUUCCAAAGUCUGAGAGAGACUCGCCCAACUCUGAAAUAACAAGAAAAACCAUAAGUCAGCUGCUUGGAAUGACAAAAUGACAAGUUUGUCAUAUACAUAAGGAUAGGAAAGGAAAGUAAAGCACACAAUAUGUUUAGAAACACAAACACGUGAUGAGAUAACAAAAGUCAUAUGCCAUCUUCGGAUUGAACACUGUGAGGCGAAGAGAAGGAGAUCAAGAUAUGUCAAAUACGGAGACGGUGUUUGACCAAACAGUUCACAUUUGAAAUUCCUCAUUUUCAAAUUGCAUCUGGGGUAUACUGUCCCAGUUUGCCACUUUACAUUGAGUUGUAUCUUCUUCUCUGCAUCCUCAUUAUGUGACAGAUCACAUAACUGAAUAAAAAUGUACCUGUCUCCCCUGAUAUUCUAUUUUCUUACAGCCAGUUUGGCCAUAAGCAAAGGAAAAAACAUUGAGCCAUUCAUAUUGUUCCCUUUCUUCACGAUAGGAAAUAGAAGAGGCUUUUCAUUAGUUCACGUUGAGUUUCUCCAGAACACAUUCUACAAAUGGCUUAACCGUUAUUAACUAAUUUAGGUCACACGCACACACACACCUCUUCCCUGACAGAAUUGCAGAUGGAACUUAGCUUCACACAAUAACACUUCUACAUUAAUCUUCUCCAAUCCAGAAUUUGAAUUUACAAAAGUACACUUUCCCAUUGAAGAGAAAAAAGUUGAUGAUAAACCAAAGUCGUGAGCCCCGCAGGGUCUCCAAGUUUUUUUGAGACAAGGGUAACUUUGUAUUCACACCAACAAUUCAUCAUCCACAGGUUCUCCAAUGUAUUGGUUAACCUUGUUUUCUCUCAGAAAAGUUGAUGAUGGACUCCUUUCACUAUUUCUCGGGCACAAAAAAUUAGCCCACUUGGUUAAGGGAUGAAGGUAUAGGAUGAAUCCUCCUAGAAGCUUAGCUAUAGGCAAGGAAGGGGGUGCGAGCAGGGUCGAAGAAGGCAUGGCACCUGAAUCACCAUGUCUCUUACUGCUUGAGAAUCAGAUAGAUAUCUCCUUACGAGACUGAAAUAAAAAGUGCUGUAAUACAGUAAUUAAAUAUCUGAAGUGCAAAUACACUUGCACAGAGUACUCAAUGCCUUUAAACUAGAUUUUCCUACCUCUGUGCCUCUUGACAAGACGAUAUGCAUGCUUUUGAGCCUCAGCUAAAUGCUCCUCAAGCUCAAAGAUGUAGUUCUUCAUCUUCUCAUAUUCUGGGGUUGAUUCUUCAACUGGCUUUUCCUUCCCAAGAACAACAUCACUCACUUUAGAUUGGACAUCCUGUCAUUUACGACUUACUGUUAGUUUAAGAAUAAUCCUGUGCACAAACCAUUGUAAUAUUCCUCACUCAGUGGCGUCAGCCAAAUGUGGUUUGAACUUUGAAGUCCAUUAAUAUACCAAAAAGAUCAAGAAAAAAAACACACUAUAUGCACCACAGGCCCACAUAUGAACAAUUAAAUAACAGUAAAUCACAUCAAUAGAGAUGUUGUCAAAGAAGAAGCAAAGAAGGAGGAUUAAUUUCAAUAAGUGUGAUCAAAUUAUUUUAAGUGUAGAAUUGGAAGUAUAAUUAUUCGGAAAUUGUAUUAUUAUAUUCAACUGUCAGAUACCUUAAAGAUUUGGAUCAAAUCUGCAGGCUUUUUCUUGAAAAUACCAGUCUCCUGGAACCUUGCUCUGUCCAUUGUCUGAAGAAAAGGCAACAGGCAUGAACCACUUUUAAGAAAAAGAUGAAACUACAAUAUUAGGAAAUAUAUAAAGCUGAUAUGAUAAAUGCAUUAGACAUAGUUCAAGUACAGAGUACAUGACCUCUUCCUACAGAUUUUAAAACCUAAAGCAUUUAAUAAUUGAAGAGAACAGAACUUUGACAGGCGAUGUCCUCAAAUACCAAUCUGAAAGAAAUCAAUAAAAAUAAGGUCUCCAGUGUACCGAAGAUCUGCUAAGACUAGUUUAUUACUCUAGAAGCUCAUUACACCAAUAUGCUCCCCCAAAUCUGCCCGGUAAAAGUGCAUUUAUUUAACCAAAUCAAUAUACUUUUAAGGGUCAUAUAAAACCAACAUUAUUUUUUUACAAAAAUGGUGAGCAGUAAUUAUAUAAAAUAAGAAAUCUGGCACUCAGUGAAAAUCCAAAAUUAUUUUAUACAGCUUUUAUACAACCGAGAAACCCCUGAAAGCCAACUGGUGCAUGAUUCUAAACUCGGUGGUUAUUUGUGCAAUGUUCAGUUGCUACUUUUGUCUACCUCAUAAAUAAUACAAGCAGAAGCUCUACAUGAACCUGUGUAUUUUUUUUGCACAAAAUGGAAUGUAGAAUAAGAAUGCGGAUAUUAAUAACCCUGCACAUGAAUUAAAAGUACUGAAAUCACAAAACUAACCUUAUAAAAGUAAAUAAAAAUGUUUACGAAGUAAAUAAAUUUUAAAUUAUACAUUUACAUUGUAUACUAACUUGUAGUAUAGAAUCCAAUCCUCCAGCAAGAGAUAAUCUCUCAUUAUAAUCCCUGAUUUACUAAUCUUUGCAUUACUAAUCCUUGCAUAACUAUUCUAUAAACUGAAUGGCCCCUAGAUUCUUCAAAGAUAGUGCUCAAUUAGUUAAUAGAAAUAAAGAGUUAGGAUCAAUUACAGUAGUUGAUCCCUCAAUGGCGUGUGUUCAAGGUUAAGUAACACAAAUUAAAGAGACCACAAAACCAGUACAAGAUAAAGACGAGAGACGUUCAAUGAUGUGGCUUACUAACAAUCAGAAUCACAGACACCAGACAAAUAAGAAUACCUCCACAAAAGGUUAGAUAACAUAUGAACUCUAUUCAACAAAGUAAACUAACUUUUAUUACCUGUUCAUCAGCCUGCAAGAAGAUUCUCAAAUCGUCACUUUGCCGAAGUUCAUGAUGUGAAGCUAUUCUGUUUACAAACACAUCCAGAGCUUGGCGCCUCAUUUCAAUAAAUUCUGCACUAAAUCUGAACUUUUCUGCAAGAAGGUAGAUAAUAAUAAUCACAAAAUGCCUGAAAAUAAGAUCAUUUUAUUGGUGCAAAAGCUAGUGGCUCCCCUUGAUAGAUUCCAAUACUUAAAUCUUUAUAACCUAUACUUCUCCAAAGAAAAUGGGAUUGAUGCCCCAAAACACAGACAUCCUUACACAUGUUUGACACAGUUAAUUAUGUCAAUCUAUAACAACUUCCGCCUACAUGACUCCCAAUUCUUGUCCGUCUCAUUUAGUCAUUUCCAACAAGCAACGAUAAAUCAACAGAUUCAAGAUUGAACAUAUUGGACACCUAUUGGUUUUAAAAUCACUUAGAGUUAGAGAAAAGUCAAAGAGAUAACCAGCACGAGAAAGAAGUGUAGUCAAUACCUACAGUGCUCUUCUCUGGAAGUGGAGGAAUAAAAAUACCCUUGUAUUUCUCAAAAAGCCGAUCGUGUAACCAUACAAAAUCACUAUAACGUCGAAUCACAAUCUUUUCAUUCCCUUGGUACUCUGCCAAAUUUGUCUGUCUUGAAGAAAAAUGGUGAAUGAGAACUCGAGGAGAAUCAUGAGAAGUAUAUACUAUACUCUGCUGAUAAAAAACAUAUGAAUGUCUGUUCCAGAAACAGGGCAAGAGAAAAAAACAAACAGAAGAAGCAGAAUAUUAUAGAAUCUUAAGUUCAGCAAAAUAACAUCCAUUGGAUGCAGGGAUUGGGAUGCGUAAGCUCUGGACCCAAAAAGAGUCUCUGGAGAUUAAAUUGAGUCUCAAACGUACUUAAGUAGUUGUUUCAUUGCUUGUUCAGCCUAUUAGAAAAAUGAAUUUUCGCCUAACUCAACCUCAAAAGCUAACUCAUGUAGUAAGAAGGAUUGUUCAAGGCUAUAGCCUAUACCCUCAAUCAAUCCUGGACACUAACACAAACUAUGAGGUUCACAUUUCAGGCCUCAAGAUCCAAACUAAAACCACCCCACUAAAUAUCAAAGAACUUUUCCUUACAACAUGACCAAAAGACCAACAAAUUAAAUAUGUUAUGUGUAUAAAAGCAUACUUUAAGGGGAAAAGAUCUUUAGAACUGAACGAGAGAAACGGAAGUACAAAUAUCCUAGAUGGUAAAAGUAUCUAUAAAGUACUUAUUCCCAAGUACAUUAAAGAAGGUUUCAGCGAGAAUAGAGCAAGUGACUUAAAAGAAAUAGGUUUAUGCAAACACUGAUGUGGUUGUUGCGGGCAUAAAGUGAAAAAAAUAGAAAUAUAACUCAAAAUUUAAAUAAGUAGUUCACACUUCACACUAUCCAAUAUAGUCUUACAGUAGAGGUCCUAACUUUGCAUGAGUGAGUUCACUUAUAUUGCUGAUCCCAACAUAGAUAAAGAGGGAGGAUUGUGGUAGGUUAAUAACUAGCGCACAACUAGCAAUCUAUGAUGAAUUCUCACAACAAAAACAAGUUGAUAAGACGGGCUUAAAUUGUGCAACCCGCACUGUAAGGAUUCCUAUAUUGAUGUGUACUUGUUGUAUUAGAAUUUAGAGCAGAGACCUUGAUUUCAAGUCACAGCACCCCUAUCAAAAGAAGAAUUCAAAACUUCCUUUGCAAUUAGAAGUAUAAGACUACCCUUUCUUUAACUUAUUCGCGGAACUCCUGGAAGGGUUAAACAAUGAAAUACAAGUAGAAUCAAGAUAUGCACAAUAAAUAACUAAGCAUAGAUAUAUCCAUGUGUAACAUUCGACUCUCCAAUUUCCUAACGUCUCUUAAAAACCCCACCUUACUAUAUAGUUUCUCUUUCUAUGGAUGACAUAUUUUGAACUACAAACUUCAUAUCGCCAUGAGAACAAAAUCUCAAAUGUCAAUCGUAUCAAAUCAAGACGUUUUGCUCUUCAAACUCAUGUAAAUUAUGCCAAGCUUAAAGGUUGCAUCUUUCCAAAUAUACAUCCAACAGGAAGUCCUUCCAUUUGUUUACUCUGAUUCUAUAUGUUAUUCUUAGUCUUAUCAGAUAUUAUUGAAUUUGAUCAUAGAUUCAGUCAACCUUAAUGCAAUUAGCUUCUCUGAAGUACAGGAAACCCCAGUUCGAGAUCCAUAAAGGGGUUUCUUAGAAAAUAUGAACUUGACGUUCGCCCUAAUCCAGCAACUUCGAGCAUAAUACUACUACUAGCUAUACAAUUAAACAUGUAUAAGCAUAACUAGUAAAUGGAAAGAGAAGGCAAUGAAUCAACGACCUUAGUGAUGACUUUGUAGGAGAUAUAAGCUUGAACUCCAUUACCCAUUUUAGCUGGAUCCGUAACUGAUACUGAUAAAAACGGCGCUUGUGAAGAUGGAGAUCUAGGGCUCUGUAACGAACCUGAUCCACUUCGUUGCUGCACCAUUAUACAACAUUCAAAAUCAAACAAUACGAAGAUUCAUCCUUAUAAAUUCGAAAAAUUGACUACAAAUUCAAAAUAAUGACGGAAUCCACACAAUUACCAUGGUGUUCAUGGCUGUUCGGCGAUUAGUUGCUACCGGAGAACGGUGGCGAUGGGUUGCGGUUUGUGCAAAGGUCUACUCGUGACUUUGGGUUUUAAUGGAAGAGUCGUGUAGCACACAUGUGAAACAUAUGAUAUAUAUAUAUAUAUAUAUAUAUAUAUAUAUUUUUCCAAUAUUUUCUUGUUAUUCGAUUUCUAUUAUUAUGUUUCGUUUAUAUAUUUUGAUUAUUAUAUUAUUAUUUUUCUAUAGUUAUUGUUCGUUUUUUCUAUAAAAUACAUUAUUUAUUUUCUAGAAUAGUUUGUUGUUUAUUUUUUCACUUACGUUAUUACUUUCUUUAUUAAAGGAUUUGUCAAAAAGAAUUAUAUGAGUUAAUUCUGAGUAUAGUACUCAAAUCUCAUAAGACUUCACUUUUGAAAUUACGAUAAAUAGCUUAUUGUUAUCAUUUUGGUUGCUAGUCGGGAAUUUAGUUAUGUCGAGUUGUUUUAUUUCGUUUUUUAGUUAUAAGUAUUAAUUAAUUACUAGUGUUAUUAUGCACUAAAUGGAAGUUACAUAUUAUUCUAUGAUGUGUUAUGUUGUAUUUAAUUGGAUUAUAUCAUAUUGUAAUACUUUGAUGAAUGCAACAUUUGAAUGUAUUCAAAUGUAUUGUAUUGUUUUCAAUUGUUACUCUACCUAAUGUUAUGCAUUAAAUUAUUUAAAGGAAGCAUCUAUUAAAAUGUGUAUGACGAAUAUUUAAAUUAAAAGUAGAAUAAAGUAUAAAAUAUAAUUAUUAGAUAACAAGUAACAAGUAAAAAUAUAAAACAUCAAACUGAUAAUUAUAUAAAGGCUGAAUACAUAAAAUUUCCUCUGAAUUUGGCAGCAACACUCGCUUUAGUACUUUAACUCUACGGGUAAUUAUUUGCCCUCUAAUCUUUUUGCAAGUGAAUUUAAUACCACCUUAAUAGAAUUAAUUUUUUUUUUCUUUUUGAAAAAAAAAAUCUCACUAUAUAUAAUGGAAAAAAAAAAUGACAAGUAACAAUGAUUUUAGUGAUACAAUAUAAUUAAAUUUGGAUAACAAUCGAAAUAAAUAUUAUAUUCAAAAUAACAACAUGAUAAGUAACAACUAGGACUGCUUAUCGAACGGAUAAUUUCGCUUAACAAUUUGACCCGAUGGAUAUUGAUUUUAAAAUUUUAAUAAUCUGAUAACUAAACCAUAAAACAUCAAUUGAUUUGAUAACGGACUAACAUUUAUCGUAUAAUUUAUUAACAAACAUUUGCAAUUUUAUUUUCUAUAUAAACACACCUUUAAAAUGAUUUUCUCACCUAUUUUAUGUGCAGUCAAAUUAUAAAAUACUUCUAUGUUACAACAAGAAAUAUAUAUAUAUAUAUGUAUAUAGAGUGAUUAAUAAUAUUAUAACAGUUAAUAAUAAAAAAAGUAUUUUCAUAUUUUUUAUUUUACGGUCUUAGGACUAAAAUAUAUAAUUAUAUAUGAUGUAAAAAUAUCAAACAAUGCUAAUAUACCCAAGUAAAAAGUGUUAGUGUGAUACCUUUUUACAAGUUAACGAUUUAUUCUAUAAGGAGAUUAAAUAAUUCACUAUAACAUUAAUGAGUCAUUAAUCAUAAAAUUUUAAUUUAUUUAUCAAUCGCAUUUUUAAUCUAAUAUCAAUAAAUUAAUAAAUUGAUUUUUAAAUUGACUAAUAGAUCCUUGAAAAAAACUAUCCAAUAAACUAUAAAGGACUUGUUCAUGUAAUCAAAAUGGCAUAAUCAAUCUAACUUUUUUUUUUUUAAAUUUUACAUUGAUAUUUUUAAUUUGGACAUAAGAAAAAUUCACUCAUUGCUGUAAAUAAAUGAUAUUUUAAUUAAUUGCUUUUCAUUAACUAAUAUCUAUUUUUUUUUUCAAUAUAGAAAAUUCACUUAGCUUAUUAUACAAGGUAAGUUUGAAAGCAAACAAACUAAUGCAUACUUAAUUUAUAAUUUAUGUAAUUAUAUCUAGUCAGAAUAAGAUAAAAAUAAUUUAACAUAAAUUACUAAUACAUAGAUUAAUUAACUGAAAAAAAAUUCUAAAACAAUCAAACUUUUUGCUGAUACUAAAACAUAGACAAAAGAAAAAAUUCAUUGUGAAUAUAAUAUCAAAACUUAUCUCUCUUAUUUUAAUUUCCUUAUAAUAGUUAUUUUUAAGUGUGCAUCAAGGUAAUAUAAUUAAUUUAUCUCAUUUAAUAUUUCAUUUUUUCGAAAAGAUAUUUUACAAUAUAUUUUUAAUAACUACCUUAUUCAAUAUCCAUCAAUGACAUAUUUAUUUGUUCAUGUUAUGAUUCACACGUAGAGCAAAAAUAUAAGAUAAGAUGAUCAAUUUAUUUUAACAAGUUAAAGUUUUAAUAAAUAAAGUCGCCCAUAUAAUAAUUAGAGUUGCACAUAUUUUGACGGAAAAUAAUAUUCAUUUUAUGAUUUUUUUUAUAACUUAUAUAUAUAUAUGGAAAGUAAAAUAUAAGAUAAUUUUAUUUAGUUUAAUUAUUUUUUUGUAGAGAGAGUUCUCUCUUUCAUGCGUUGAUGGAUUUAAAAUUUAUUCAUUAAAAUUUCAAAUAAAACUAUUUAAAAAUAAAAUCAAGUUUUAAAUCAUUACUUUUGAAUUUAAUCAGUUGUCACUACAACUCUAGCUCUGUCCUUAUUAAUAAACCCCAUUAUAAAGACCAGGAGCUAAAAUAGUUAUUUUUUUCAACAGUAAUAUUAUAAGCAUUCAUUAAUAUGGUGUGUAAGACUGGAUAAUGAAACAUGUAUUAGUAUCGGUUCGAUUCUGUUCCGGUUCGUUGCAUACGGGAUAGAACAGGACAUCCUGAAUCGAUACACAUAACGGAACAGAAUCGAGGUUUGGCUGGCGUACCAGUAUCCAUUUAUCUCGGUUUAUUUUAGUUCUGAUUCGGUUCUGAUCCGAUUUUAAUUAAUUAAUAUUUAUUAAUUAAUUUUAUAUUAUAUAUUUAUAUAUUAUAAUUUAUUUUUUAUAAUUUGUGUAAUUAUUUUUUAUAAUUACAAAUUUAAGUUAUUUAAACUAAAAGUUAUAAAUAUAAUUUAUAUAUUAUAACAUAUUAAUAAAUAAUAAGUAAUAACUUAUAAACCUCAAAAGAUUUUAAUCUUGAAAACUUAAUUAAACUUAACUUGCAAACUUAAUCAGUAAAUUUUUUUAAAAAAGUAUCUUGAAAAUAAAAUUAAGUAAAAAAUCACAUUAUAAAUUUUAAAACUAUUAACUUAAACUUAAAAAAAAUUUUAAAAAAUUAUUCAUAUUUUCGUAAUUAAAAAAAAAUAUUUUUUGAAAUAACUAGAUGUGUCAUCCCGUUUAUUUCGUCCGUUGCAUUUCGGUUCGUUCUGGUCCGUUCCGGUAUAUAGUGGGACGGAAUGGAACCGAAUAUCUGUCCCGAUAAUUUCGAUUCGAUUCAUCAGGGUACCGAUCGACAAACUGAUCAACUUGUUGUUUCGGUUCGAUACCGGUUCGAUCUGAUACCAGUUUGUUCCAGUCCGAUGAUCCCGUUCUGAUCUGUUGCCUAGUUUUAAUGGUGUAACAAUAUACAUUAGUCAUUAAGUAAAAUACAUUAAAUUUUAUAUAUGAUAUACUAAUCUGAUGUGCUAGAUACAUUAAUCUGAUGAGCAAGUACAAGUGAAAAUGAAAAAUUCUAAAAAUUUAUAAAACUAAUAGUGAUAAGAAAACUUAAAUAUGAAAUUUCUUGUCUCUUUUCUUUUUUAAAGUAAUAAAUACUAUUUGUGUCCUGGAUAAGAAUGUUAAUAUUUCCUUUAAUUUAGUGGACCCAACAUUUGAAAACCAGCAAAAGGAAAUAAAUGAAAUGAAAAUGAAAUCAGAUGAUUACUCCUUAAUGGGGUCCAAUGUUGAAUUUAUUUCCAAAUAUAAUAUAAAAUCUUUGGAAAAAGGAGGCACCUCUAAAUAUUAUCAGCACAAAUAGUAAUUUUAUAAUAAUUUCAACUUUUUGUAAUAAUUUUUUAAUAUUAAUUUUUUCAUCCCAAAAUAGUUACAUCAUGAUUUAUAUAGAGUUAAUUUAAGUGAUUUUUAUAGCUAAAUAAAUAUAAAAAAAUAACUAUUAGAUGUAAUUUUUCUUAUAUCGAUAAGUGAAAUGCAUUUUAAAAUAUUAAUUAAAGUUUAUAUAAAUAUAGUAAAAUAUGCUUUAAAUAUUGAUCAGUUUAAAUAAUUUGAACUAUUGUGACAAGUUUUUUUUUAGAGUGUGAAUUUAUAAUAAAAGUCACUUUAUUUCUAUUCAUCUUUUACAUUUUUUUCUGAACUUAAAAAUGAAUUUGACAAAUUUCUAAUUUUUAUCUUUUAUAAUUAUAAUGUUACAAUUAACUUGUCACAAUUCAAUUAAUUUUUAUAGAUGGAAUAAGUUAAGUCAAUUAAUAAAAACCGCACCCUUACUAUUAGGAGAUAUGUAGAAUAAAUUUCUUAUAAUAUGUCAUUGAAAUAAGUCCUUGUUAAUAAGAAAAAGUGAAGUUGAACAUGUGGUUUAAUUUUAUUUAUUGAACGAAUUUUAUAAUUGAUUUUAUCCGAAUAUUGUAUUAAUAAUGCAGAAAUCAUAAUUCUCAAUUUACUUCAAUUAGUCGCUAAAUAAUUUACUUUUUCUGACUUUCAUAUUGGAGGUCUCAAGUUUGAAAUUUCUUGUCACCGAAAGCAAGGAAUUUACUUUCUGAUUGAGCCCAGUGCAGAUUGUCUCUCUUACGUAAUUUGCAAGCUAUAACAUAAAACUGAAGGUUUUACUCUGCGUCAACAAAAUAGCGGUUGCGGAUUUUUCACUCUUCUCAUAAUUUUUUUAAUAUAAAAAUACACAUUAUGCAUUUAUUACUAGUUCAUAAAUUAUAAUUUAUGUUUUUUUCAUGUUAUUAUUAUCACCUAAUCUUCAUUAAAGAGUAUCCAUUGAUUAUCCUAGUGGGUCCCACAGGAGUAAUCUCAGCCGUUAAAAUAAAGCUGGAGCAGGUGAUUUUAGAGCCCCUGUGCCUAUUUAUAAAUUGAGAGUUUCACACCUCCGCAAAACAGAAGAGGAGAGAAGCUCUGAUGGACAGUAACGGCGUCGUUAGCUUUCACCACCGGCGAUCGCCGUCCUCCGAUCGAUUUCUCGGCGUAUUCUCUCCACCACAGAGUGAUAGUGCUAUCGGCGAUGCAGAUGUAUCCAUCGCUGAUGAUGAGCUGAACGAAGAUGAAGUUUUCUGGAUAGGAGACUUCACUGAACCUAAGCGCCGCUCUACUUCUCCUUCUUCAAUCAGUAGUCGGAAAACUUUCCUUCAGCCGGAGAAAUUCGGUAUUCUCGCUGCAUUGCCUGAGGAUCACCGGAAACUUAACCGUCCUGUUGUUUAUCGGAAACCUUCGAUAACUUCCUCACCUACUAGUACAAAACUGUUUCAUUCACCGCCGGUUGCAUCAGCGAUGGCUUUUUCUCGAGGGUUUCCUACGAUUCCCAAACCUCCAUUGGAUAGAGAACAUAGCUAU